GUGGGCAAAGCUCACAUCCCUACAGACGGGCUGCAGUGUGUCUGGGGCUGCUGUGUGCUCUCUUAUUGGCUGCCACAUUAGUCCUGUGUGUCCUCUACCUGAAGGUCCCAAAGUGCUCAGGGAUGGAGAGAGAACUGGAGGAGCUCAGAGCCAAUCACAGCAGAGGGAUUCAAGUAGAGAGGAAGAAAAAUAACACAGCUUCAUUAGCAUUGUUAGAGAAAAAGUACAAUUAUCUGAGUCAAUACUGCCACUCCAUUUCAAAAGAGACAGUGUGUAAACCCUGUCCACAGGGCUGGGAGCAGUUCUACUCCAAGUGUUACUACUUCUCUACUGAGAGAAAGACCUGGACGGACAGUCGCAGUGACUGCAUUAAAGAAGGGGCUGACCUGGUAGUUAUAAAGAGUGAAGAGGAGCAGGUAAGAUACUCUAUGAGCGAAUGAGUGAGUGCCUGACUGACUGACUGAGUGAGACAGAACCAAAACUAGUCACUUAAUAUUAUAGUAUUUAUCACACUGUAUACACGGCAUUGUAAAAAAAAAAACAUGUCAAGUUGUGUAGUCUUAAAUCAAAAAUACACACUGGCUCUAAACAAACAAGAUUAAUCGAUCAUAAAAAAUUAAGAUCAGGUGAACUAGCAAUCAUAUAUGUUUCUAAGCCUUUUACCAACAAAGAAUUAUGUUUAAAAUACAUACAUAUUUAAAAAUCUUUUAUACAAAAAACAGUAUUAAAAAAAUAGUAAAUAAAAAAAUCCAUAAACCCAAAAAAACACAUGAGAACCCAUCAAUCAAGGCCAAGUAUUUGGUGUAUGUAGCACCCCAGCAAAUUCACAGAAACCUUUAGUCAAUUUCAGUUUUUUAAGCUGCAAUACACAUAGUUUGCAAAAAACACAAUAUUUCUCUCAAGGCAUUUCAUGACAAAUUAUAAAUUACGUGGGAGGAGCUCAAUUUCACUUAAAGAAUGUGUUUGAAAUUAUUUAAGCACAACUAAAUCAUGAUAUUUGGUCCUAUAAGACAAAAUAAUUUGAAAACCUUGAUAGAGAAAUUCCAUUAAAAUUCUUUAAAUUGUCACAGUUUUGUUAAAAGCAUAAUAUGCAAUAUUUUUACCUGGAAAACGCGAUAAAAUAAGCAUACAGAGGUAUAUCUAUGAUGCACCAACAAUCUCUCUUUACCUGUAUUUGUUAUUCAAAAAUACAUUUGGGAUGUUUCUGUACAUGGUGCUCUGUUUCGUGAGGGGAGGGGCUUGUGUGGCUACAGAGCCUGUGGUUUGGGAUCAUAUUUCAGAGGAGUGUUUUUUGUUAGCUAGCAGCUACCUCAAUGGUGGAGCUGAAGCCCAGGUACAGUGAAGCAAAAAGACAAGCUGACAGGGCUCAUUCAAGAACUAGAGUUAGCCUUGGAAUUGCUGUUACUUGGUGGCGUCAGCUGAAGUUUGCCAAGGGAAUGAAAAGUGAUGUGGAGUUGGCUUGUUUUUUGUUGAACCUGUAAUGUUGCCUCUAGCUAUCCAGCUAGCUACGUUAGGUAGCUAGAUGAAUGAAGUUUGGUACUCAGGGUAAAUGUGUGGAGUUGAAAACAGAGGAGGAGACUUCUUUGAUUGUAAACACAAGACCACAGCAAGGCAAAAAAAUUCUGCAUAGUAUGCCUUUAAAGAACAAAUCAGAAUACUAUUAUCAAUAACUAAAAAUGAGAAAAAUAGUCGGUUGAAAGAUUACUAAUACCAAUAGGCUAACUUGCUGCAUGCCAGUGGCAUCAUGUUUGCAUUGCUUCUUUCUCAUGCCUCAGGCCUGUGAUUCUAGCCCUGCAAACCGCUAUAGGCCAGUCGGGUUGAGGGCGGUGGACAUGGUUAAGGUUUUGGAGAGAGCUAUCACAGGUAUCUUCAAAAUAUGGACGUUAUUGCUCAUCUUUCAAUG